rnacentral:sRNA from 1 species
UCCAUGAUAUGAGAUGGUAAAGCUCCCC